rnacentral:ribozyme from 14 species
CAAUUAACCUACCCAAAUAAAAGAGGGAAGAGAGAAAAUAUAGCGAAGAAAAAGGUAGAAAGGCAGAGGUUGUUGAAGAAGUCUAUUGAUUGUUGUGUUUGGUAGGGUAUUAGUGUUUUUUUGUUUUUUUUUUUUCGCAGCUGUAUUUUUUUGUAAACGUAAAAGUCUCGCAGUUCUGUGUACUCUUCUUCUACCGAGAAUAGAUGAAAAG